CGCGCUUGGACCUGUCGCUGACCAAAGGAUUACCCAAUUGGAUCUCCUCAGCAUUUUCUUUCUUUAAAAAUUGGGUGGGAUUAAUAUUAUUUGGAGAUACACUUUGCUGUGGAUUAGUGUUGCUUCUUUGAUUGGUCUGUAAGCUUAAGGCCCAAACUAAGAGAGACAAGGUGGUUAUUGCCCAGGCGCUUGCAGGACUAGAACAUGGAGCUUCCCCUGAUAUAUCUAUGCUUAGGCAAUAGGUCGCUGGCCACUCAGCUCUUAUAUCUCACGAGGCUAGUCUCAUUGCACGAGAUAGAGUGAGUGUGCUUCAGCAGCCCGAGAGAGUUGCAAGGCUAAGCACUGCAAUGGAAAGGCUCUGCGGCAUAUAUGAGCCUAUUCUAGGGAGACAUGUCAUCUUUCAUGAAGGUUCAGUGUCCUAGUUCCCUUCCCCCAGGCAAAACGACACGGGAGCAGGUCAGGGUUGCUCUGGGUAAAAGCCUGUGAGCCUAAGAGCUAAUCCUGUACAUGGCUCCUUUACCUACACACUGGGGAUUUGACCUCUAUCUCCACUCUCAUUAAUAUGGGUGGCCUAUUUGCUCUUAUUAAAAGAAAAAGGGGGAACUGUGGGAAGCCGCCCCCACAUUCGCCGUCACAAGAUGGCGCUGACAUCCUGUGUUCUAAGUUGGUAAACAAAUAAUCUGCGCAUGAGCCAAGGGUAUUUACGACUACUUGUACUCUGUUUUUCCCGUGAACAUCAGCUCGGCCAUGGGCUGCAGCCAAUCAGGGAGUGAUGCGCCCUAGGCAAUGGUUGUUCUCUUUAAAGAGGAAAGGGGUUUCGUUUUCUCUCUCUCUUGCUUCUCUCUCUUGCUUCUUACACUCUGACCCCAUAAAGAUAUAAGCAAUAAAGCUUUGCCGUAGAAGA
rnacentral:lncRNA from 1 species